ensembl:lncRNA
CUCCAGGGCUGCUGGGCUGGAACCUCUUGGUUUCCUUUCUCUCCCCAGUUCGGCUUCCCGAGGUGUGGGGCCGGAACGGAGCGGCCCCUCUCCCGUUUCUCUAGUCUCGGGCUAACAAGCUGUCCAGUUCACCUCAAAGAUAGCUGAAGGUUUGCUGCUGCAGCUUCUCCAAGGCCAGGGAAGGGAAAAACUUCUUGCCUGGGCUAAGAGAACCAAGCUAGCCAAGGAAAAUCAGACUGUGCCGCACCCUGGGGAGUGAGGCUUAGAAAAAGCUCGGCAAAGAGCCCAAGGCUACCCGCAACCCCAGCCACACACCUUUAAGAUACGGCAACCACUUUGGGGCACAAAGCGGAGGAUCAUGUAACAGAUUAUCAUCAUAAGUCACCCCAAGACAACCACUUGCUCAGGUCUUCUACGGUGGACAAUUUUUCACUCCCAGAAACAAUACAUUAGAGUUCACUUGAAGUUCACCAGGUCUGGUGCUGUGCUGCCUUCACAUGAGCACAGACGGACAGCAGGUAUGAUUCCAGAUGCAGCCAGGGGGUGCCGAGUUGUGGAAGAAAAAAGAGGCUUAUAACUAAAUACAUAGUUUUUCUAUAUAAAUAUAUAUUAUUAUGUGUUUAUAAAAAUAUUUAAAUAAAUUCGGGCAGAAGGACAGACAGUUGGGCAAAUAGCUCUGAAAAACCUACCAGGAAAAUAUCACUGGAGUAAAGUACUAUCAAACCACAGAGCCAUAACUUUCUUCCUAUCUCAGAUUUCCCUAUCUCAAGGCAAAAGGCGGAGAAGAAGCCAACUUCUGGCUUACAGGGCCUACGGCAGCAUCACCAAGACAACAACCUUUCAAAGGAGGGGCAGUCGGUUCCCCUGGAGAACAGAGCGGCAGCCUGAUCCGGCAGCCUCCAAGGUCUGCUUGGCUCUAGAUAAGCAUCUGCUUCCCCACAUAGCACUUAUCUCCUUUUCCAAGGCUCUCAUCACUGAAGCUAAGAGGCUUCAUGACUGAUUUACCUUUUCCAACAAACUAGAUGGGAGGUGAGUAUUAUUUCAUGCUAGAGAUAAGGGCACAUUGAUUGAACUCACCUAGAAAGCUUGCUAAAAAGAAGGAAGAGAAUUUAAACCUGUGGAGCCCUAGUAUUGCUCAUUAGCUGCAGACAGAGGCUUUACUCCAUCUGGGCGUGCAGCUGAUCUCCCUACAAACCAUUUCUCACCAAAGACCUUGCUAGGAAACCAUUUUAUCCUGUGGCUGGGGCGGAAAUGAGAAGAUGAAAGGUGCUACCUGGUUCUAAUCCUGGGUUAAAAUUAAUGUGUUUUUUUUAAAAAAAUAGGAGGUUGGAAAAGUGGCAGGGGGAUAAAAGGUUGGAGAAGCAGAAGUCUGAGUUCCUUAUGGGUCUAGGACUUAGCACAGGGAUCAAAGGCAGCGUGUUCGGCCCACGAUGCUUAAUCUGUAGCCCUGUUUCCCUGCACACCUGCCCUUGUCAAAUCUGAGGAGAGCAGGGGCUCAGCUUUUCUUUGCUGAGGACCCACCUGUGCCCCACUGUGAGCAUCCCCAGUGCGCUGAGCCUGGCUUUCUGCCCCAGCAGAUGUGAAGAUCUCAAGGCUCGCUCCUGACAGUUUCCUCUUCCUGCCAAUGCAGGGGAAGCCCAGCACCCACCCCUCCAGACACCCCUGCUGGCACUGCCUGCCUGCAGCGCGCACGGUGGAGCUCGGACAACAGGUGCAACAUAUCCUCUGGUUAAAGGGAAGGAAUUCCUGAAUGGAAUGGACUCACCGUUCAGCUUCUGGCUCAAGCAAUAUCUCGCUGUGGUCCCGAUGGGGAUAACAACGUGGCAGGAAAAACUACACUGGAAAAAAGACACGUGGGGGCUGAGGUGGGGAGAGGAAGAAGCAAUGUAAGCAAAAGGAGGAAAUGCUAUGGUGAGCCAAAUGAGACCGAAGGGAGAGGUCUUCUUCACGUGCCAGGGAUCCGGCCAAGCACUGACUUCGCUGUUGUUCUUUGAAGCAAGAUAAAAACACCGGUUCCACUCAGAAUGAGUGAAUUCAUGGCCCAGAGAGCUUUGGGAACAAAUCCUUCUGUUGCCCUCUCCUGGAACCAGCUCUGCUCCUACAGGGAAAGUUUGCCAUCCAAAGACAGCUGGGCAGGGGUGAGGAAAAAAAAAUAAAUUAAAUCUGUUGAGUGUUUUUUGGUGCCCC